rnacentral:misc_RNA from 1 species
AAAGUCGUAACAAGGUUUCCGUAGGUGAACCUGCGGAAGGAUCAUUCACAAUAAAGUGUUUCUAGCACUUUUUAAAAAUCUAGUACCCACCUUGUGUGCAAUGUAUUGGAGUCAUGUGACUUGUCGCAUGGUUUCAAUAAUACCAACCUUUAUUUUUAACGUAUGUCUGAAGAUAUUAUGAAUACUAAAUUCAAAUAUAACUUUCAACAACGGAUCUCUUGGCUCUC